GAGACAGGUCAGGGCUCGACUUCGCUGGCAGUAAAAGAGAAGCCCAAGUGUGGGAAUCAGGUUGGUUUGUUGUUUAAACAAACCAUUGCAAAAUCAUCCAGCACGGUCCUGAGUCGGUUUUGAGGUGGUUUGUGCCUGGGGAGGAGCCGCAGUCUGCCUAGGAGCCUGCCUAACGUCCCCGAUGCUGGGACACGGUUUUCUGGGACCUGCCUCCUGCGGUCCCUGAUAAAGGUCUUUACCGCUCUUCCGGGUCACUUGGAGAGGCUUGCAGGGUGGACAAGAAGCCAUUCUACUGGGAGGAGGUCUUGGGCUCAAGGCAUUUGUCAGGUCAGCAGGAAAUCUCUGUUUUUAGAGUACCUGGAAGUCAGGACUUGACUCUGUGCUUAAAAAAAACAAAACAAAACAAAAAAGACAAAGAAAACACAACCAUGUUAACCAUAUCAAUUAUCCACCCCUCCAUCCCCCACUCCUGCAAAGUGAAUAUAUCAAAGUCUCCAAAUGAAAACACUUCAGGUGCAUGGAGAAUCCCCCGGCAGCUCACAGCGACAAGCACCCGUCCUCCCAGAACAUGCUGCACUUGACUCAAUGAGGCAGGAAGACUGAGAGCCCAACUUGUCCUUGAAUACGUGCCAUUUCAGUCGGUUGCUGGCCCACCCCAUCCCAAGGACCUCCCUGUGCCCUGGGUUCUGUCAGGCGAAGGUGUCAUCAGGAAACCCAGCAGAAUGAAGAGAAAAGUGAAAUUUGACUUAGUACAGUCCUGAGUACAAACAAUUAAAAGCCCCAAGUACUGACCAUUCAAGACAUCACUUUGGGGGCAACUGGUGGCUCUGUUGGUUUUCCAGAGAUGGAGAAGCCAAGCCUGGAGGGGAUGAGACCCUGGAAAUCAGAUACGUUUGGACUAGAAGGGAGCGGAGAAACCAACUAACACACGGAGCCGGCCCAGGCAGAGCAGGGGCGGUGGGCGGUCCCAGGGGCACCCCUGCACCCACCCGGGAGCCAUGGUGAGGAACAGACAGGAGCAGCAGUAGCCCCAGAGGCAAACUUCACCCCCUCACGCUGCUGCCCAGGACCGACUGGAACUCACACAGAAAUCCACCCCCACCCCCACGGUGCCAGAUUGGCUCCUUCCAGGGCUGAGAACUCGA